ACGGGGGGAGCAAGCGUUGUUCGGAUUUACUGGGCGUAAAGGGCGCGUAGGCGGCCACCGCAAGUCGACUGUGAAAUCUCCGGGCUUAACCCGGAAAGGUCAGCCGAUACUGCGGGGCUAGAGUGCAGAAGGGGCAACUGGAAUUCUCGGUGUAGCGGUGAAAUGCGUAGAUAUCAGGAGGAACACCCGUGGUGUAGACGGCUUGCUGGACAGUCACUGACGCUGAGGCACGAAAGCGUGGGGAGCAAACAGGA
rnacentral:rRNA from 1 species